rnacentral:lncRNA from 10 species
UUCAAGCUGGACUUGUCUGAGUCAUUCUUUGCACUAUCAGCUCCUUCCCAGUUUGGGGGGACAUUACAAUCUCAGCAAACUAACACAGGAACAGAAAACCAAACACUGCAUGUUCUCACUCAUGACUAGGAGCUGAACAAUGAGAACACAUGGACACAGGGAAGGGUGCAUCACACAGGGGCCUGUCACGGGGUGAGGGUCUAGGGGAG